rnacentral:rRNA from 1 species
GAUGAACGCUGUCGGCGUGCUUAACACAUGCAAGUCGAACGGAAAGGCUCCUGCUUGCAGGGGUACUCGAGUGGCGAACGGGUGAGUAACACGUGGGUGAUCUGCCCUGCACUUCGGGAUAAGCCUGGGAAACUGGGUCUAAUACCGGAUAGGACGAUGGUUUGGAUGCCAUUGUGGAAAGUUUUUCGGUGUGGGAUGAGCUCGCGGCCUAUCAGCUUGUUGGUGGGGUAAUGGCCUACCAAGGCGUCGACGGGUAGCCGGCCUGAGAGGGUGUACGGCCACAUUGGGACUGAGAUACGGCCCAGACUCCUACGGGAGGCAGCAGUGGGGAAUAUUGCACAAUGGGCGCAAGCCUGAUGCAGCGACGCCGCGUGGGGGAUGACGGCCUUCGGGUUGUAAACUCCCUUCGCUAGGGACGAAGCGCAAGUGACGGUACCUGGAGAAGAAGCACCGGCUAACUACGUGCCAGCAGCCGCGGUAAUACGUAGGGUGCGAGCGUUGUCCGGAAUUACUGGGCGUAAAGAGCUCGUAGGUGGUUUGUCGCGUCGUUUGUGUAAGCCCGCAGCUUAACUGCGGGACUGCAGGCGAUACGGGCAUAACUUGAGUGCUGUAGGGGAGACUGGAAUUCCUGGUGUAGCGGUGGAAUGCGCAGAUAUCAGGAGGAACACCGAUGGCGAAGGCAGGUCUCUGGGCAGUAACUGACGCUGAGGAGCGAAAGCAUGGGUAGCGAACAGGAUUAGAUACCCUGGUAGUCCAUGCCGUAAACGGUGGGCGCUAGGUGUGAGUCCCUUCCACGGGGUUCGUGCCGUAGCUAACGCAUUAAGCGCCCCGCCUGGGGAGUACGGCCGCAAGGCUAAAACUCAAAGGAAUUGACGGGGGCCCGCACAAGCGGCGGAGCAUGUGGAUUAAUUCGAUGCAACGCGAAGAACCUUACCUGGGCUUGACAUACACCAGACCGGGCCAGAGAUGGUCUUUCCCUUUGUGGUUGGUGUACAGGUGGUGCAUGGUUGUCGUCAGCUCGUGUCGUGAGAUGUUGGGUUAAGUCCCGCAACGAGCGCAACCCUUGUCUUAUGUUGCCAGCACGUUAUGGUGGGGACUCGUGAGAGACUGCCGGGGUUAACUCGGAGGAAGGUGGGGAUGACGUCAAAUCAUCAUGCCCCUUAUGUCCAGGGCUUCACACAUGCUACAAUGGUCGGUACAACGCGUCUGCGAGCCUGUGAGGGUGAGCUAAUCGCUGUAAAGCCGGUCGUAGUUCGGAUUGGGGUCUGCAACUCGACCCCAUGAAGUCGGAGUCGCUAGUAAUCGCAGAUCAGCAACGCUGCGGUGAAUACGUCCCCGGGCCU